GCGGACGUGGUGGAACUGGUAUACACAAGAGACUUAAAAUCUCUCGUCUUCAAUGACUUACGGGUUCGAGCCCCGUCGUCCGCA
rnacentral:tRNA from 1 species